GAGUUUGAUCCUGGCUCAGAACGAACGCUGGCGGCAGGCCUAAUACAUGCAAGUCGAGCGCGCCUUCGGGCGAGCGGCGGACGGGUUAGUAACGCGUGGGAAUGUGCCCUUCACUGCGGAAUAGCCUCUGGAAACGGAGAGUAAUACCGCAUACGCCCUUAGGGGGAAAGAUUUAUCGGUGAAGGAUCAGCCCGCGUCUGAUUAGAUAGUUGGUGGGGUGAUGGCCUACCAAAUCUACGAUCAGUAGCUGGUUUGAGAGGAUGAUCAGCAACACUGGGACUGAGACACGGCCCAGACUCCUACGGGAGGCAGCAGUAGGGAAUCUUGGACAAUGGGCGCAAGCCUGAUCCAGCCAUGCCGCGUGAGUGAAGAAGGCCUUAGGGUCGUAAAGCUCUUUCGCUAGGGAUGAUAAUGACAGUACCUAGUAAAGAAACCCCGGCUAACUCCGUGCCAGCAGCCGCGGUAAUACGGAGGGGGUUAGCGUUGUUCGGAAUUACUGGGCGUAAAGCGCGCGUAGGCGGAUUGGAAAGUUGGGGGUGAAAUCCCAGGGCUCAACCCUGGAACUGCCUUCAAAACUAACAGUCUAGAGUUCGAGAGAGGUGAGUGGAAUUCCGAGUGUAGAGGUGGAAUUCGUAGAUAUUCGGAGGAACACCAGUGGCGAAGGCGGCUCACUGGCUCGAUACUGACGCUGAGGCGCGAAAGUGUGGGGAGCAAACAGGAUUAGAUACCCUGGUAGUCCACACCGUAAACGAUGAAUGCCAGAUGUUGGACAGCAUGCUGUUCAGUGUCACACCUAACGGAUUAAGCAUUCCGCCUGGGGAGUACGGUCGCAAGAUUAAAGCUCAAAGGAAUUGACGGGGGCCCGCACAAGCGGUGGAGCAUGUGGUUUAAUUCGAAGCAACGCGCAGAACCUUACCAACCCUUGACAUCCUGUGUUAUAUUCAGAGAUGGAUAGUUCCCUUCGGGGACGCAGUGACAGGUGCUGCAUGGCUGUCGUCAGCUCGUGUCGUGAGAUGUUCGGUUAAGUCCGGCAACGAGCGCAACCCACAUCUUUAGUUGCCAGCAGUUCGGCUGGGCACUCUAAAGAAACUGCCCGUGAUAAGCGGGAGGAAGGUGUGGAUGACGUCAAGUCCUCAUGGCCCUUACGGGUUGGGCUACACACGUGCUACAAUGGUGGUGACAAUGGGUUAAUCCCAAAAAGCCAUCUCAGUUCGGAUUGGGGUCUGCAACUCGACCCCAUGAAGUCGGAAUCGCUAGUAAUCGCGUAACAGCAUGACGCGGUGAAUACGUUCCCGGGCCUUGUACACACCGCCCGUCACACCAUGGGAGUUGGUUUUACCCGACGACGGUGCGCUAACCCUUACGGGAAGCAGCCGGCCACGGUAGGAUCAGCGACUGGGGUGAAGUCGUAACAAGGUAGCCCUAGGGGAACCUGGGGCUGGAUCACCUCCUUUCU
rnacentral:rRNA from 1 species